rnacentral:rRNA from 1 species
UGAGGAAUAUUGGUCAAUGGGCGCAAGCCUGAACCCGCCAUCCCGCGUGCAGGAAGACGGCGCUAUGCGUUGUAAACUGCUUUUCCAGGGGGAGAAACUUGCGCACGUGUUGCGCAAUUGACGGUACCCUGGGAAUAAGCAUCGGCUAACUCCGUGCCAGCAGCCGCGGUAAUACGGAGGAUGCGAGCGUUAUCCGGAUUCAUUGGGUUUAAAGGGUGCGUAGGCGGACUAUUAAGUCAGUGGUGAAAUCCUGCAGCUUAACUGCAGAACUGCCAUUGAUACUGAUAGCCUUGAGUUCGGUUAAGGUAGGCGGAAUGUGUAAUGUAGCGGUGAAAUGCUUAGAUAUUACACAGAACACCAAUUGCGUAGGCAGCUUACUGAGCCGACACUGACGCUGAGGCACGAAAGCGUGGGAUCGAACAG